AGGGAAAAGCUCAAAUUUGAAAUCUGGCAGGUCUUGCAUCUGUCCGAGUUGUAGUUUAGAGAAGUGCUUAUCCGCGUCAGGCCUGUGCAUAAGUUUCUUGGAACAGAACAUCAUAGAGGGUGAUAAUCCCGUCUUUGGCACAGUGUCCCUGGGGCUUUGUGAUGCACCCUCGAA
rnacentral:rRNA from 1 species